CACGCGCAGCACCGAAGGAAUCCAAAGGGUUCAUAGGCACAGCCGUGUCCGUCGUAUCUUGGCGAGAACAGGGAGGACGAAGCAGAUUCUGUAGUUUUACGUGUCAUUUUCUUCAACACGUGGCUACGAGAUCAGACUGAACAAGACACCGUAGUAGAAGAAUACAUCAGUUUCUUGUACUAGUAGGAGGAUACAGGGGAUUGGUUGCUGCUCCCCUAGACAAAAACCUUUCCAGUAUUUACUUGUGGCUACUGCCUUGAGUGGGCUCUGGGAAGGAUGGAUGCAUCAGCCGCAGCGAGAUAUCAGUUUAGCGUUUACUACUAGCAGAUAGCCAGCCAAGAAAGUUGCGUUCAGGCAGUUGAACGGCUGCGCUGCAGGAGAAGAAGGCCAAGUAGGACAGCCGGACAGUCUCUAGUUUCCAGGGCAUGCAUCUCCAGUCUUCACGCACAUGAGAAAAGUGACGACAGUUAAAGAAAAAUAGUGCCCAUCAAAACAAUUAAAGCCAGUCAAAAGGAUCAGUAGAAAUCUUGAAGGGAGAAGUACGAGUGUAUGACCCGAAUUCAGGAGCAGAAAGAGCAGGAAAGUAAAUAAAAUCAAGUAUCACUACAGAACUAAUCUGGUGAGCAAGAUAAAAAAGGCAAAGCAAGAACAUCAACUCCAGAGGGCACUAAGUGUAACAGACCUGAUG